CGCCUCCAAUUGAACCAGUGAUU
rnacentral:siRNA from 1 species